rnacentral:rRNA from 1 species
UCGGGAAUUUUGGGCAAUGGGCGAAAGCCUGACCCAGCAACGCCGCGUGAGUGAUGAAGGCCCUAGGGUUGUAAAGCUCUUUUGUGCGGGAAGAUAAUGACGGUACCGCAAGAAUAAGCCCCGGCUAACUUCGUGCCAGCAGCCGCGGUAAUACGAAGGGGGCUAGCGUUGCUCGGAAUCACUGGGCGUAAAGGGUGCGUAGGCGGGUUUCUAAGUCAGAGGUGAAAGCCUGGAGCUCAACUCCAGAACUGCCUUUGAUACUGGAAGUAUUGAGUGCGGGAGAGGUGAGUGGAACUGCGAGUGUAGAGGUGAAAUUCGUAGAUAUUCGCAAGAACACCAGUGGCGAAGGCGGCUCACUGGCCCGAUACUGACGCUGAGGCACGAAAGCGUGG